CGGGAAUUAGCUUAGAUGGUAGAGUGUUUGCUUAGCACGCAAGAGAUAGUAGGAUCAAUGCCUGCAUUUUCCA
rnacentral:tRNA from 1 species